UUAAAUUUGAUUCAGUUCCUAUGCAUACUAGAAUAAAUUUGCAUUCAUAUUUCAAAUUUGAGAGUUAAUACAUGGUUAUUUUAAUAUCAUUUAUGCUAUUUAUUCUCUUUUGAGAAAUAGAUGAAUUAUCUGAUUUUGUUUGUUCAUGCCAAAUAUAUAGAGGGGAGAGAACUGGUGCAGAUAUUGCUUGCAGCUGGAGCUGAUCCAUCUGCUCAAGAUUCACAGAAUGGGAGGACAGCUUUGCAUACUAGUGGACAGGCAUAAAAAUGAGGUCCCAAAAGAAUAAAAAGGCAGAACAAAAGUGGGAAUAUGGAAUAUCAGCCGCGACAAA